GUGGCCGGCAGCCGCGGUAAUACCGGCAGCCCGAGUGAUGACCGAUCUUAUUGGGCCUAAAGCGUCCGUAGCUGGCUGCGCAAGUCCGUCGGGAAAUCCACUCGCUCAACGAGUGGGCGUCCGACGGAAACUGCACAGCUUGGGACCGGAAGGCUCGAAGGGUACGUUCGGGGUAGGAGUGGAAUCCCAUAAUCCCGCACGGACCACCGAUGGCGAAAGCACUUCGAGAAAACGGAUCCGACAGUGAGGGACGAAAGCUAGGGUCUCGAACCGGAUUAGAUACCCGAGUAGUCC
rnacentral:rRNA from 1 species